AUAAGGAGACCGAACUGCCCGUAAUCAGAAUGGGCCGAUGAUUGUGCCCGCCAGACGUUCUGAAAAGCAACACUGGGAGCGCUGUCAUCAACUAACUCCAUUCGCAUUCGUACGUGACACAUGGUUGUCAUAUGCAUGAAGGUUCGUGGUUAUAUUAAUGAUAGAGUACGAGAGGUUAGGAAAAACAUAUAUUUUGGGUAUACAGUAACAAUAUUUAUUAUGUACUGUGUAAUCUACGAAAAACAACAUUUCAACUAUUAGAAUCGUAAGUUUUAUAAAAUUAUGUUUCCGAGGACGUUCUGAAACCUUUCUGUCCGAGAAGACUUUUACUUGGUAACUUUUACGAAAUCUUCAAGCGUUUCCAAUUAAUUCCAAUUAAUUCUGUCACUAGAAUAGAAAUUUUCAUCGGAGAGAACAUUUUAGAACGUAGCUUGAAUGAAUAAAAGUAUUAGAGACAAUUUCUAUAACUGUAUAAGUGACUGAUGAGAUUAAAAUAUAUGUAUAUUGUGUUUAGCAUGUUACAUGAUUCAAGUUUCAGUGUAUUUUUUUCUUCAUGUUACAGUUACUCUUCAUGUUACUUCUGCUGAAAUCCAAAAUAAUAAUAGUAAACGGCAAACGAAAGUAAGUAAUUGGUACACCGCAAUACAUGUAUACAUAUACUGUAAACAAAGAGAUUAAUUACUUAAUUAUUGUUUUAGCUAUUAAGAAUGGAAAGUAAAGAUAUACAUGUGGA